rnacentral:tRNA from 1 species
GGGGAUAUAACUCAGUUGGUAGAGUACUUGCCUUGCAUGCAUAAGGCCCUGGGUUCAAUCCCCAACACCACCA